rnacentral:lncRNA from 1 species
AGCCCAUUUUGAAAUGGGAAGGUGCUUCGUAGAACUGGACAUGUGGGAAAGCAGGGCUAAGAGUCCUGGGCCAGGCCAAUGCAGUGACUCAAGAAGAAGCUGAAGUGCUCCCCAGGCCUUGUGAACUGACCGAAGCAAGUGGUGAGGUUCAAAGUUUUAUUUCAGGGAAGGCAGGGUUACCUAGAGCCUGGGUGGGGGUUAAUCAAUGUACAUUCAUCAUUAAUUUAUGCAUGUAAGGGGCUUUGGAGCACAGUCGUCAUGCUGGUUUUGAUAACGCUAACUCUAUCCACCCUGCCAGCUGCUGUGAUGUCGUGGUAGUCUGUGUUGCUGCAUGCAGAAUUAUGGUGCUUUUGUGGGAAUAUUAUGUUCCUUGAAUAGAGCCCCACAGAGCAAUUUGCUUCAUCCUUACAAACCCAUCCAAAUAACUGGCAGUGCCUUACAAAUACAAAACAAUCGAGAAAAUAAAUGUAUUAUACUGUACAUCUGUGACAAAACAAUGCUUUCAUGUGCAAAGAGAAAUGUGUUUGUUUAACUUACGGUUUCCCAUUUGGAAAUAAAUGCAUUCAUUUAAAUUAAAAUGGGACGUUCUUCACUAUUACAGAAUUUUGCAUGCCAGAUGUAAGAAAUGUGCUGCUUGAAGAGCAGACUCAAAACUUGGAGUGGUUGGCAUUACCAAAAGCAUGCGUGUGCUGGCUUAUCCUUGAUGGUGUCUCUUCCUGCAGGGUGUUCUUCAUCUGAGUAGGACGUUCCUGCCUUUGCAUGAACAGUGUGGUCUGUAGGAGAGGUUUGGGAGUGAGAUUCUCCCUUGUGUGGCAGUCUUGUGUCUUAGUGCAUGCUGGUAAGCCCACUUUUCACCUGGGUUGUGUUUAGGAGAGAGUGCUAAAACUGACUGACCUGCUUCAGAACUUUGCACUACUGUGACCGUGAGACAGAGUGAC